AUUGAACGCUGGCGGCAUGCUUUACACAUGCAAGUCGAACGGCAGCGCGGGCUUCGGCCUGGCGGCGAGUGGCGAACGGGUGAGUAAUGCAUCGGAACGUGCCCAGUAGUGGGGGAUAGCCCGGCGAAAGCCGGAUUAAUACCGCAUACGACCUGAGGGUGAAAGCGGGGGACCGAAAGGCCUCGCGCUAUUGGAGCGGCCGAUGUCGGAUUAGCUAGUUGGUGGGGUAAAGGCUUACCAAGGCGACGAUCCGUAGCUGGUCUGAGAGGACGACCAGCCACACUGGGACUGAGACACGGCCCAGACUCCUACGGGAGGCAGCAGUGGGGAAUUUUGGACAAUGGGGGCAACCCUGAUCCAGCCAUGCCGCGUGCGGGAAGAAGGCCUUCGGGUUGUAAACCGCUUUUGUUCGGGAAGAAAUCCUCUGGGCUAAUACCCCGGGGGGAUGACGGUACAGGAAGAAUAAGCACCGGCUAACUACGUG
rnacentral:rRNA from 1 species